CGAGCUUGAUCCUGGCUCAGAACGAAUGCUGGCGGUAGGCCUAACACAUGCAAGUCGAGCGAACAACACCCACCAAGGUUGUUAGCGGCAAACGGGUGAGUAACACGUAAGGAUCUACCUUGUUCCACAGGACAGUGGAGAGAAAUCUUCGGUAAUACUGUAUGACUCCAAGAUUUGGUAAAGAUUUCGAUCGGAACAAGAUGAACUUGCGGUAGAUUAGCUAGUUGGUGAGAUAAAAGCCCACCAAGGCUAAGAUCUAUAGCUGGUCUGGAAGGACGAACAGCCACAUUGGGACUGAGACAAGGCCCAACCCUCUUAGGAGGGCAGCAGUGAGGAAUAUUGGACAAUGGGCGGAAGCCUGAUCCAGCCAUACCGCAUGAGUGACCGAAGGUCCUAAUGGACUGUAAAACUCUUAAGCCAACGAACUAAUGAUGAUAGGUUGGUUAAAAGCUCCGGCCAACUUCGUGCCAGCAGCCGCGGUAAUACGAGGGGAGCGAGUGUUGUUCGGUAUUAUUGGGCGUAAAGGGUGUUCAGGUUGUCCAACGAGUUGACUCUUAAAUCUUGAGAUCCAACCUCAUUCAUGGGGUCAAUACUGUUGGACUUGAGCUUAUCAAGGGACGAAUGGAAUUCCAAGUGUAGAGGUGAAAUUCGUUGAUACUUGGAGGAACACCGGAGGCGAAAGCGAUUCGUCAUACUAAGCUGACACUGAAAACACGAAAGCAUGGGGAGCAAACAGGAUUAGAUACCCUGGUAGUCCAUGCCCUAAACGAUGAGUGCUAACAGUCUAGAGCCAACUUGUUGGCCAAAUGCAAGGACCUUGUGUCCGAGCAUCCAACAAAAUCCACCGGUCUCAACAUUGUACAGCUAACGCAUUAAGCACUCCGCCUGGGUAUUACGACCGCAAGGUUAAAACUCAAAGGAAUUGACGGAGAUCCGCACAAGCGGUGGAGCAUGUGGUUUAAUUCGAAGCCACACGAAGAACCUUACCAGCCCUUGACAUACCAUGGCUAACCAUCCUGGAAACAGGAUGUUGUUCAAGUUAAACCCUUGAAAUACCAGGAACAGGUGCUGCAUGGCUGUUGUCAGUUCGUGUCGUGAGAUGUAUGGUUAAGUCCUAAAACGAACACAACCCUCACCCAUAGUUACCAAUAAACACUGACAACCUCUAUGGGUACUGCUAACGUAAGUUAGAGGAAGGUGAGGACCACAACAAGUCAUCAUGGCCCUUAUGGGCUGGGCUACACACGUGCUACAAUGGUGGUUACAAAGAGCCGCAACGUUGUGAGGCCGAGCCAAUCUCCAAAAGACCAUCUCAGUUCGGAUUGUACUCUGCAACCCGAGUACAUGAAGUAGGAAUCGCUAGUAAUCGUGGAUCAGCAUGCCACGGUGAAUACGUUCUCGGAUCUUGUACACACCGCCCGUCACACCAUGGAAGCUCUGCUUCGAUCGAAAUCAAGACAACACUUGAUCACAUCUUGGCAAACAACCGAGGUGAAGUCGUAACAAGGUAGCCGUAGGUGAACCUGUGGCUGAAACACAA
rnacentral:rRNA from 1 species